AGUUAUCAAGAACCUUCAAAUAGAUAUUGGAAGAAGUGAUAUCACUUUAUAAUAUCUCUACUCUGUAUCUAAAUAACCUUAAUAUUUUAAUUAUAUAUUGAAAAGAUUACUACCCACUGUGUUACUGAGAACAACUUCAGAAGCAGGACACAGACAUUCACACAAGUAGCAGAAAAGAACAGAAUGGCCCUGACAAAAAUAAGAGGUGGUCUCAUCGGAUUCAUCAGGCAGUGCUUUGCAUGACUUUAAUCUGCCAGGAAUGGACCUUAAAAGCAAGAGAGAAAAGUGUCUGUACGACUUUAUCUCUGUCCGUUCUGCCUUCACUUGACAAGUAAUAUACUAAAUAAUUUUACCUGUCAAAAAUUGUAAACAUUCAUGAAAAUAAAUGUCAGUUAGUGAAAUUGAUCAGUA